CCUACGGGAGGCAGCAGUGAGGAAUAUUGGUCAAUGGGCGAGAGCCUGAACCAGCCAAGUAGCGUGCAGGAGGACGGCCCUAUGGGUUGUAAACUGCUUUUAUAGGGGAAUAAAGUGAGGUACGUGUACUUUUUUGUAUGUACCCUAUGAAUAAGGACCGGCUAAUUCCGUGCCAGCAGCCGCGGUAAUA
rnacentral:rRNA from 1 species